GAGUGUGUAGUGUAAUGGUAACACGCUGGUUUUGGGAACCAGAAAAGCAGUUCGAAUCUGACACAUUCUA
rnacentral:tRNA from 1 species